rnacentral:rRNA from 1 species
GACCAAGGAGUCUAACAUGUGCGCGAGUCGUCGGGUCUUGAAUAGGCCCGCAGGCGCAAUGAAAGUGAAGGGCGACCCUGUUGUCGUCUGCGUUGGGAUCCUCAGACCACUGCGUCUGGGGCGCACCAACGGCCCGUCCCGUCYGCAGCGUCGGUGGGACGGAGCGAGAGCGUACACGUUGGGACCCGAAAGAUGGUGAACUAUGCCUGGGCAGGACGAGGCCAGAGGAAACUCUGGUGGAGGUCCGCAGCGAUUCUGACGUGCAAAUCGAUCGUCAGACCUGGGUAUAGGGGCGAAAGACUAAUCGAACCGUCUAGUAGCUGGUUCCCUCCGAAGUUUCCCUCAGGAUAGCUGGCGCUCGAGGGAGUCAGUCUCAUCCGGUAAAGCGAAUGAUUAGAGGCCUUGGGGCCGAAACGACCUCAACCUAUUCUCAAACUUUCAAUGGGUGAGAAGUCCGGUUUACAUGACUGAAGCCCGGACAAUUCUCAGGAUGCGAGUGCCCAGUGGGCCACUUUU